UACGAAGGGGGCUAGCGUUGCUCGGAAUUACUGGGCGUAAAGCGCACGUAGGCGGAUUGUUAAGUCGGGGGUGAAAUCCUGGAGCUCAACUCCAGAACUGCCUUCGAUACUGGCGAUCUCGAGUCCGGGAAAGGUGAGUGGAACUGCGAGUGUAGAGGUGAAAUUCGUAGAUAUUCGCAAGAACACCAGUGGCGAAGGCGGCUCACUGGCCCGGUACUGACGCUGAGGUGCGAAAGCGUGGGGAGCAAACAGG
rnacentral:rRNA from 1 species